rnacentral:rRNA from 1 species
UUCCGGUUGAUCCUGCCGGACCUGACUGCUAUCGGAUUGAUACUAAGCCAUGCGAGUCUUUGUAGCAAUACAAGGCAGACGGCUCAGUAACGCGUAGUCAACCUACCCUAUGGACGGGGAUAACCUCGGGAAACUGAGAAUAAUACCCGAUAGAACAUUAUGCUUGGAAUAGUUUAUGAUUCAAAUGAUUUCGCCAUAGGAUGAGACUGCGGCCUAUCAGCUUGUUGGUGUGGUAAUGGCUCACCAAGGCUAUAACAGGUACGGGCUCUGAGAGGAGAAGCCCGGAGAUGGGUACUGAGACACUGACCCAGGCCCUAUGGGGCGCAGCAGGCGAGAAAACUUUGCAAUGUGCGAAAGCACGACAAGGUUAAUCCAAGUGAUUUCUGCUAAAGAAAUCUUUUGUUAGUUUUAAAAGUACUGAUGAAUAAGGGGUGGGCAAGUUCUGGUGUCAGCCGCCGCGGUAAAACCAGCACCUCAAGUGGUCAGGAUGAUUAUUGGGCCUAAAGCAUCCGUAGCCGGUUGUGUAAGUUUUCGGUUAAAUCCAUGUGCUUAACAUAUGGGCAGCUGGAAAUACUAUACAACUAGGGAGUGGGAGAGGUAGACGGUACUCGAUAGGAAGGGGUAAAAUCCUUUGAUCUAUUGAUGACCACCAGUGGCGAAGGCGGUCUACCAGAACACGUUCGACGGUGAGGGAUGAAAGCUGGGGGAGCAAACCGGAUUAGAUACCCGGGUAGUCCCAGCUGUAAACAAUGCAAACUCAGUGAUGCGUUGGCUUAUAGCUAACGCAGUGCUGCAGGGAAGCCGUUAAGUUUGCCGCCUGGGAAGUACGUACGCAAGUAUGAAACUUAAAGGAAUUGGCGGGGGAGCACCACAAGGGUGAAGCCUGCGGUUCAAUUGGAUUCAACGCCGGGA